rnacentral:piRNA from 1 species
UGGAAUCUUCAGGAUGACCUGUUUCCCCU